rnacentral:rRNA from 1 species
AUUAACGCUGGCAGAGUGCAUAACACAUGCAAGUCGAGCGGGACUACUUGAGAUUACAUCAAUUGGUAGUUUAGCGGCAGACGAGUGAGUAACACGUAAGCAACCUGCCCCAGAAUGGCGAACAACCAGCCGAAAGGUUGGCUAAUACGCCGUACGAUCCCGGGAGGGCAUCUUCUUGGGAUGAAAGGCCCGCAAGGGUCGUUCUGGGUGGGGCUUGCGACCCAUCAGCUAGUUGGCGGUGUAACGGACCACCAAGGCUAUGACGGGUACCCGGCCUGAAAGGGCGGACGGGCACGAAGGCACUGAGACACGGGCCUUACUCCUACGGGAGGCAGCAGUGGGGAAUUUUGGACAAUGGGGGAAACCCUGAUCCAGCAACUCUGCGUGAGGGACGAAGCCUUUCGGGGCGUAAACCUCUUUUAUCUGGGACGAAAGCAGCAAUGUUUGACGGUACCAGGUGAAUAAGCCACGGCUAACUAUGU